rnacentral:rRNA from 1 species
CCUACGGGUGGCUGCAGUGGGGAAUAUUGCACAAUGGGGGAAACCCUGAUGCAGCGACGCCGCGUGCGUGAAGAAGUCUUUCGGUAUGUAAAGCUCUAUCAGCAGGGAAGAAAUAGCGACCUUUGGGUCGCCAGACGGUACCUGCUUAAGAAGCCCCGGCUAACUACGUGCCAGCAGCCGCGGUAAUACGUAGGGGGCAAGCGUUAUCCGGAUUUACUGGGUGUAAAGGGAGCGUAGACGGCAGCGCAAGUCUGAAGUGAAAUGCCGGGGCUUAACCGCGGAACUGCUUUGGAAACUGGGCAGCUAGAGUGCAGGAGAGGUAAGUGGAAUUCCUAGUGUAGCGGUGAAAUGCGUAGAUAUUAGGAGGAACACCAGUGGCGAAGGCGGGUGACUGGACUGUAACUGACGUUGAGGCUCGAAAGCGUGGGGAGCAAACAGGAUUAGAUACCCGAGUAGUC